GGUUAAGUGACUAAGCGUACACGGUGGAUGCCUAGGCAGUCAGAGGCGAUGAAGGGCGUGCUAAUCUGCGAAAAGCGUCGGUAAGGUGAUAUGAACCGUUAUAACCGGCGAUACCCGAAUGGGGAAACCCAGUGUGUUUCGACACACUAUCAUGUCAUGAAUACAUAGUGGCAUGAGGCGAACCGGGGGAACUGAAACAUCUAAGUACCCCGAGGAAAAGAAAUCAACCGAGAUUCCCCCAGUAGCGGCGAGCGAACGGGGAGGAGCCCAGAACCUGAAUCGGCUUGUGUGUUAGUGGAAGCGUCUGGAAAGUCGCGCAGCAAAGGGUGAUAGCCCCGUACACUAAAAUGCACAGGUCGUGAGUUCGAUGAGUAGGGCGGGACACGUGACAUCCUGUCUGAAUAUGGGGGGACCAUCCUCCAAGGCUAAAUACUCCUGACUGACCGAUAGUGAACCAGUACCGUGAGGGAAAGGCGAAAAGAACCCCGGCGAGGGGAGUGAAAUAGAACCUGAAACCGUGUACGUACAAGCAGUGGGAGCACCUUCGUGGUGUGACUGCGUACCUUUUGUAUAAUGGGUCAGCGACUUAUAUUUUGUAGCAAGGUUAACCGUAUAGGGGAGCCGUAGGGAAACCGAGUCUUAACUGGGCGAAUAGUUGCAAGGUAUAGACCCGAAACCCGGUGAUCUAGCCAUGGGCAGGUUGAAGGUUGGGUAACACUAACUGGAGGACCGAACCGACUAAUGUUGAAAAAUUAGCGGAUGACUUGUGGCUGGGGGUGAAAGGCCAAUCAAACCGGGAGAUAGCUGGUUCUCCCCGAAAGCUAUUUAGGUAGCGCCUCGUGAACUCAUCUUCGGGGGUAGAGCACUGUUUCGGCUAGGGGGCCAUCCCGGCUUACCAAACCGAUGCAAACUCCGAAUACCGAAGAAUGUUAUCACGGGAGACACACGGCGGGUGCUAACGUCCGUCGUGAAGAGGGAAACAACCCAGACCGCCAGCUAAGGUCCCAAAGUCAUGGUUAAGUGGGAAACGAUGUGGGAAGGCACAGACAGCCAGGAUGUUGGCUUAGAAGCAGCCAUCAUUUAAAGAAAGCGUAAUAGCUCACUGGUCGAGUCGGCCUGCGCGGAAGAUGUAACGGGGCUAAACCAUGCACCGAAGCUGCGGC
rnacentral:rRNA from 1 species